CCAACGGCCCUCUUUAGGGCCACAUACGUGUAUGAAUACAAUUGGAU
rfam:Heterorhabditis bacteriophora unplaced genomic scaffold Scaffold377, whole genome shotgun sequence.